rnacentral:tRNA from 1 species
GGGGAUAUAGCUCAAUGGUAGAGUGUGUAGUUUGCAACUAUAAUGUUAUCGGUUCGAGUCCGUUUAUCUCCA